UGGUCUAGCCCAUGCGUUUUGUGCCUCCAGUGCAGAUCUUUCAACAUCUGCAUUGUCAGUCGGUUAAUGGUGGCCACACGCACGCACGUCGUCUUGGUCAUGUUCUAAAGCCUGCCUGCGUACCACAUCCCUGACGUUCUUCAGUGAAAUCCUUAACCGAGUGGCAGCAGCUAAGACUGUCUUUCUCUGCCAGAUUUGGGCUGCUCCAGUGCAGUCAGCUAAAGAAGGCCAUAUCCUUGACCUGAACAGACACCUCUCUGUUUCCAGGAUUUCUUUUGAACACUAACAUUUUCUUUUUCUGUAGUUAAGAAUUAUAAUUCUAUCCUACUGAACAAAUUGUGUUUCUGGGGCCCAGUGGAGCAAGGUCCCAUAGAAAUUCCUGAGUCCAUUUUGUAACUCCUUAAAAUCCUGCUUUUCAUCCUCCUUUACUAGACUCUCAGGUUUGAUGGAAUUGGACACUGCCCCUGGCCAGCGAAAGGCUUACAUAAAUCAGUAAUUUAAAGGUCACAUGGUUUCUAUGAAGCCUGGAGGAUUGGAACAGGCUGUGUGACUGACCAUUUAAGCAGGUUUAUAAUAUCAGACUGCCAGAUCCUGACAAUGACCCAAAGUCUCCAAAGAAGAUUAUGAGGCACCCCGGUUCCUGUACCUGGAUGAUGAUGACGCUGACCAGUGAGCAAGAUGCUCAAAUGUGACACCUGCUGCCUGCCAGGACCUGGCCCAGACUGUGGACAAAACUGCUGGACACCGGAAAAUUGAUUGCACCCACUUUGCCUAGACAAAACAAGUUUAAACAUGUCUUAAACAGGUUUCUGCUUCUGGCAGACACAUCUGAGUAUCAGUUGCUGACUACAGCCUACUCCUAAGGACUUGCUGUGGAUGUGAACCAGUCCAGCUGAUGUGGACAACCCCCUGACUCUUCAACAGAAUCUGCCAAUCAGCUGCUUUCCCAUUGCCUGAAUUCCCUUUUUUCUUUUGACUAGCAUUUCAACUCUCUUGGGUCCCUAACUGCAUCCCAUAGUCAGCAGGAAGUAGAAUGGGAAAGAAUACAUCGCCCAUUUUCCCUGGUUGAAAUGCUAAGUCAAAAUAAACUCCCUCAUGAAGGGACCAGCUCCCCAUUUUGGCAGCCAUAACAGCUUGUCUGACCUUGUCCUAGUCACUACAAAGUCAAAUCCCUGCCUCAUGGCAAGGAACCAAUCAGAAGUUAGCUGGUGGCGCUAUGCUUUACGGCUCUGGGUGUGCUUUACGGACAAGUGCACAGCAAUGAUGCGAAGAGCAUAUCAACCACCCUGGGAGGGCCUAUGGGCCAUAACAAUCAAUUGGCCAAUCAACAAAGGGCAAGCCCUCCAAGCCUGGAGGCACACCAAUCCUGAGCCUGUGCGUACCCCUAGACACUCCCCUUACGCUGCCCUACAAGACCUCUCUCUUCAGCCGGUUCAGGCUGUCUUUGCUAGCCAUCCGCCAUGGCGGGUGGGUGAAAGACCCGAGCUAACAUGGGGUUAGCUCGUUAAAGCCUCAUGCAGUUUGCAGCAAGUUUUCGAAUCCGCCUGGUGAUUGGGGUGACCUCGGUCCUGGGCUGGGACCCUGGAGGCCUGAGUUUUCCGGGGGUCUAACAUUCACAUAGGGGAUGCCAAUGUCACUCCCUCAGAAAAAUCGGAAGGACUAGAGAAUCGCCAAAGGGAGAAAGAGGUCAACCAGAGCUGGUUUGCAAGCUGGUAUAGCAGGUCCCCUUGGUUCACUACCCUGGUCUCCUGGUUGCUAGGGCCUAUCACUAUUAUCUUUGUUACUUCUCACUUUUGGUCCUUGUAUUCUCAAUUGCCUAAUGACUUUCUUUUUUCUUUUUUCUUUUUUUGGUUUUUCGAGACAGGGUUUCUCUAUGUAGCUUUGGAGCCUAUCCUGGCACUCACUCUGGAG
rnacentral:lncRNA from 1 species